UUGGUCGAAGAGAAGUCGAGAGUUCCUAAAGACAGAGAGAGAGAGAGAGAGAGAAAGAGCGAGCAGCAGCAACGCUGAAAUCGUUCGUGAAUCGUAGACGGUGGUUCGCGGAGAACGUCGUGUUUAUUGAUCCCUUGCGGGGCUUGACCAACGGUCAAUGAGAUACGGUCUUUCCCUUGCCCUACGACUCGAGAGCCCUGCAUCGGUUCUCCUUAACGGAAAUAACGAACCUAACCUCUCGCCUCACGCUGCGGCGUGAUUCAUGCGUUCCCGAGGCGAAGCUCGACUCGAGUGUGUGCACGGAUUCAUAGGUGAAAAACCGUGCACGCGGGAGGAAGAAUGGGAAGAAAGUGAGGUGAACCCGAAGACUGCAUGCAAAACUAACGUAUGGGUUAAAUUUUGCGUUUACGGAAUAAUCGAACGAUCGUUUGAAGCGAAAAGAGAACGCGAGGUAAGGUGAAUGAACAAUUUGGCAAAUGAUCGAGCAUCCGACCUACAUUUUUAGUUCGAAAGCGAAGAUCAACGGAGGAUAAGAUUUUUUUUCCCCGGAGCGGUGUGACGCCGUGUGGAAAGAAAUUCAGGUCAGGCCUGGUGUGGCGAGGUGAAGAAACCUCGCAAUCGUUCAAACGCGCAAUCCGUUCUAUCCGCAACGACGAGUGAGGAAGAGAGACGGAUUAAUGGCUCGGUGGGGGAUGAAGGUACGAGGGCGGACGAGCGGAACGCACAUGGAGGCACGAUAAUGAGGCAUUAAGAGAAAUAGGAUGGCGUACCAUUUGAGCGCGGGAGACCGAGGCGAGACGAGAGGGUAGUGGAAUUGUGUGUGCGCGCAACCGCAGACCCAAUUGGCCAGCCCUUUUCACCCCCUGCUUUCCAACCAACCCUGUGGUAACACUCUCCCUCCCCCGUUUCGCCAACACGCUCUCAUCCCUACCACGAAAGCUCAGAUUCACUUACGCGAGACGUCCAUCUCCCAUGCCACGUGGCUUUGGUAAACAAUGGACGAAUUACCCAAUACAAUUUUCGCUUUGGUAUGUUACCCGGAAGUUCAAAAAAUUCAUCCUCAAAGAGGUGGUAAACAAAUCGUUAAAAAUCAUUAAUCGUCAAGUAUCGAUUUUGACUUGGUAUAAUAUGGGUCAAGGGUGAAUGGCUGAAUAGAGAAAUCUAUGGAUAUGGGUCACGGGUGUGUGUAUGAACACACCGAUUCUGAACUUCAAUCGGCAUGCAAAAGCGGUGGUAAGAACGAUAGGAUCGGUACAACAUAAGCUUCGGCCACUUUGCCGGAUUAAGAGUUGACCCGGCACGAGAGACUCUAUCGUCGAUCGAAAUAAAACGGAUCGUACACACGAGCUAAGAGGAGGUGACCCGUCCCUCAACUUUCGAGUCCCUACGAACAUAGGCGUUUUAGAAUCGACUCGAGGGAAACACACCCUUCCAGAAUUGGACAUUUGUCGAUGAAGAGGAUCCUUUCGAGCCUCAUGAUCCUUGUUUGACUCCACGAUCGACUCGAGCGAAACUAAUCCUUCAGAAUUGAACGUUCGUCGAAGAAGAUUGAUAGAAAGCAAUGAUUCGACAAACCAGGCAAAUUGGUAUUGCGUGUGGCCUGCUUAGAGAUUGAUCUGGGCCAGAUACACACAAAUAUCGCCGCCCAACAAUGUACAUACGCAGUUUUCUUCUAAAUUACCACCCAGUCGUGACCUGACUGGGGCUCUUGUACUUUCUAUUGAUGUCGUGUCUGUAUGCACACGCGUCGUCCGACGACGACGUUCAAAGUAUUUGAACGCAUUUGUGGAAGUCGUUGGCGUUUCAACGUCCCGUUCCACCACCUCUUUGGCACACGAGCCUUGGCUCAUGAAUAUUAAGCGCGUGUUGUGUGUAGGUUACACACCGGCCCUAGAGGCUCGCUUUAAUUACACGACAACGACACACCGCCCCAGGUGACGACCACCCCAGCGCAGAGAAGGAUAUUUACUUUUCUCCUCCGUGCACAAGUCCUUGCACGCUGGCUGAAUUAUCGCUGUCGUAAUGAGAUUGGUUCUCUCUCGUCGUUCGAGGGAGUGGGGCUGGUGGCGUUGUUACCUGACCAGAGAUUUGAUCUACACAUACACGCGAUCCUGUGUCUUAAGGACCUUAUUUCUUCUUCGUGCAAUGUAUCAGAUCGAACGACCCACUUUUCCGCCAGUGGCCGAUUAAGGCCUUUUCUUUUCUUUUCUUUUCUUUCCUUUUCGAGUAAUCUCGAAACAUCCGUAACAAACACGCGUAAUAAACCUGAUUGGAAAGUAA